rnacentral:rRNA from 1 species
GCGUUGUUCGGAAUUACUGGGCGUAAAGCGCACGUAGGCGGCUUUGUAAGUUAGAGGUGAAAGCCCGGAGCUCAACUCCGGAAUUGCCUUUAAGACUGCAUCGCUUGAGUCAUGGAGAGGUGAGUGGAAUUCCGAGUGUAGAGGUGAAAUGCGUAGAUAUGCGGAGGAACACCAGUGGCGAAGGCGACUCACUGGACAUGUACUGACGCUGAGGCGCGAAAGCGUG